AUUUAUCUAAUAUAAAUAGAGUAUACUUGACUUCCAAUCAAGAGGUUUGCGAAAGCAAGAUAAAUA
rnacentral:tRNA from 1 species